rnacentral:tRNA from 1 species
GCCUGGAUGGCUCAGUCAGUUAAGCGACUGACUUUGGCUCAGGUCAUGAUCUUACAGUUUGUUGGUUCAAGCCCUGCUUUGGGCU